GGAGAGGUGUCCGAGCGGCUUAAGGAGCACGCCUGGAAAGUGUGUGUAGGUUAAUCCCUACCGCGGGUUCGAAUCCCGCCCUCUCCGCCA
rnacentral:tRNA from 1 species